rnacentral:rRNA from 1 species
GCUAUCAACAGUAUCCUAAAGGCACCUGAUCUCAUCUGAUCUUGGAAGCUAAGCAUAUUCAACCCUGGUUUGUACUUGGAUGGGAAACCACUGAGAAAUACCAGGUGCUGUAGGCU